CAACCUGCCUUACACUCUUGGACAGCCUUCUGAAAGGGAGAUUAAUACAAGAUGUUAUCAUGAGUAAGCAUUUUCACAUGAUUAAAGGUUUACCGGUGUAAGAUGGGGAUGCGUUCCAUUAGAUAGUAGGCGGGGUAACGGCCCACCUAGUCUUCGAUGGAUAGGGGUUCUGAGAGGAAGGUCCCCCACAUUGGAACUGAGACACGGUCCAAACUCCUACGGGAGGCAGCAGUGAGGAAUAUUGGUCAAUGGACGAGAGUCUGAACCAGCCAAGUAGCGUGAAGGAUGAAGGUUCUAUGGAUUGUAAACUUCUUUUAUACGGGAAUAAACGAAUCCACGUGUGGAUUUUUGCAUGUACCGUAUGAAUAAGGAUCGGCUAACUCCGUGCCAGCAGCCGCGGUAAUACGGAGGAUCCGAGCGCUAUCCGGAUUUAUUGGGUUUAAAGGGAGCGUAGAUGGGUUGUUAAGUCAGUUGUGAAAGUUUGCGGCUCAACCGUAAAAUUGCAAUUGAUACUGGCAGUCUUGAGUACAGUUGAGGUAGGCGGAACUCGUGGGGUAGCGGUGAAAUGCUUAGAUAUCACGAAGAACUCCGAUUG
rnacentral:rRNA from 1 species